rnacentral:rRNA from 1 species
UACGUAGGGCGCAAGCGUUGUCCGGAAUUAUUGGGCGUAAAGAGCUCGUAGGCGGCCAGUUGCGUCCGCUGUGAAAUCCCGGGGCUUAACCCCGGGCGUGCAGUGGAUACGGGCUGGCUAGAGGCAGGCAGGGGAGAACGAAUUCCCGGUGUGAGCGGUGAAAUGCGCAGAGUAUCGGGAGGAACACCGGUGGCGAAGGCGGUUCUCUGGGCCUGUACUGACGCUGAGGAGCGAAAGCGUGGGGAGCAAACAGG